UCGAGCGGAACAAAGACACGGAAUUUUUCGGAAGGAAGUGUGUUAGCUUUAGCGGCGGACGGGUGAGUAACGCGUGGAUAACCUGCCUCAUACAGGGGGAUAACAGUUAGAAAUGACUGCUAAUACCGCAUAAGCACACGGGAGCGCAUGCUUCCGGGUGAAAAGCUCCGGCGGUAUGAGAUGGAUCCGCGUCUGAUUAGCUGGUUGGCGGGGUAACGGCCCACCAAGGCGACGAUCAGUAGCCGACCUGAGAGGGUGGCCGGCCACAUUGGGACUGAGACACGGCCCAAACUCCUACGGGAGGCAGCAGUGGGGAAUAUUGCACAAUGGGGGAAACCCUGAUGCAGCAACGCCGCGUGGGUGAAGAAGUAUUUCGGUAUGUAAAGCCCUAACAGCAGGGAAGAGAAUGACGGUACCUGACUAAGAAGCCCCGGCUAACUACGUGCCAGCAGCCGCGGUAAUACGUAGGGGGCAAGCGUUAUCCGGAUUUACUGGGUGUAAAGGGAGCGUAGACGGUUGUGCAAGUCUGAAGUGAAAGCCCGCGGCUCAACUGCGGAACGGCUUUGGAAACUGUGUAACUGGAGUGCUGGAGAGGUAAGCGGAAUUCCUGGUGUAGCGGUGAAAUGCGUAGAGAUCAGGAGGAACACCGGCGGCGAAGGCGGCUUACUGGACAGUAACUGACGUUGAGGCUCGAGAGCGUGGGGAGCAAACAGGAUUAGAUACCCUGGUAGUCCACGCGGUAAACGAUGAGUGCUAGGUGUUGGUGGGCAGAGCCCAUCGGUGCCGUCGCAAACGCAGUAAGCAUUCCACCUGGGGAGUACGUUCGCAAGAAUGAAACUCAAAGGAAUUGACGGGGAC
rnacentral:rRNA from 1 species